rnacentral:rRNA from 1 species
ACGACGGGUAGCCGGCCUGAGAGGGUGACCGGCCACACUGGGACUGAGACACGGUCCACACUCCUACGGGAGGCAACAGUGGGGAAUAUUGCACAAUGGGCGAAAGCCUGAUGCAGCGACGCCGCGUGAGGGAUGACGGCCUUCGGGUUGUAAACCUCUUUCAGCAGGGAAGAAGCCACAAGUGACGGUACCUGCAGAAGAAGCGCCGGCUAACUACGUGCCAGCAGCCGCGGUAAUACGUAGGGCGCAAGCGUUGUCCGGAAUUAUUGGGCGUAAAGAGCUCGUAGGCGGUUUGUCGCGUCUGCUGUGAAAGCCCGGGGCUUAACCCCGGGUGUGCAGUGGGUACGGGCAGACUAGAGUGCAGUAGGGGAGACUGGAAUUCCUGGUGUAGCGGUGGAAUGCGCAGAUAUCACGAGGAACACCGAUGGCGAAGGCAGGUCUCUGGGCUGUUACUGACGCUGAGGAGCGAAAGCAUGGGGAGCGAACAGGAUUAGAUACCCUGGUAGUCCAUGCCGUAAACGUUGGGCACUAGGUGUGGGGGACAUUCCACGUUUUCCGCGCCGUAGCUAACGCAUUAAGUGCCCCGCCUGGGGAGUACGGCCGCAAGGCUAAAACUCAAAGGAAUUGACGGGGGCCCGCACAAGCGGCGGAGCAUGCGGAUUAAUUCGAUGCAACGCGAAGAACCUUACCAAGGCUUGACAUAUACCGGAUCGUUCCAGAGAUGGUUCUUCCCCUUUGGGGUCGGUAUACAGGUGGUGCAUGGUUGUCGUCAGCUCGUGUCGUGAGAUGUUGGGUUAAGUCCCGCAACGAGCGCAACCCUCGUUCCAUGUUGCCAGCACGUGAUGGUGGGGACUCAUGGGAGACUGCCGGGGUCAACUCGGAGGAAGGUGGGGAUGACGUCAAAUCAUCAUGCCCCUUAUGUCUUGGGCUUCACGCAUGCUACAAUGGCCGGUACAAAGGGUUGCGAUACUGUGAGGUGGAGCUAAUCCCAAAAAGCCGGUCUCAGUUCGGAUUGAGGUCUGCAACUCGACCUCAUGAAGUCGGAGUCGCUAGUAAUCGCAGAUCAGCAACGCUGCGGUGAAUACGUUCCCGGGCCUUGUACACACCGCCCGUCAAGUCACGAAAGUCGGUAACACCCGAA